rnacentral:rRNA from 1 species
UACAGAGGUCUCAAGCGUUGUUCGGAUUCAUUGGGCGUAAAGGGUGUGUAGGUGGCGCCGUAAGUCGGGUGUGAAAUUUCGAGGCUUAACCUCGAAACUGCAUUCGAUACUGCGGUGCUUGAGGACUGGAGAGGAGACUGGAAUUUAUGGUGUAGCAGUGAAAUGCGUAGAUAUCAUAAGGAAGACCAGUGGCGAAGGCGGGUCUCUGGACAGUUCCUGACACUGAGACACGAAGGCCAGGGGAGCAAACGGG